GACGAACGCUGGCGGCGUGCUUAACACAUGCAAGUCGAACGAUGAAGCCGGAGCUUGCUCUGGUGGAUUAGUGGCGAACGGGUGAGUAACACGUGAGUAACCUGCCCUUGACUCUGGGAUAACUGCGGGAAACUGUAGCUAAUACCGGAUACGACCCUCGGCGGCAUCGCCAGGGGGUGGAAAGAAUUUCGGUCAAGGAUGGACUCGCGGCCUAUCAGCUAGUUGGUGAGGUAACGGCUCACCAAGGCGACGACGGGUAGCCGGCCUGAGAGGGUGACCGGCCACACUGGGACUGAGACACGGCCCAGACUCCUACGGGAGGCAGCAGUGGGGAAUAUUGCACAAUGGGCGCAAGCCUGAUGCAGCGACGCCGCGUGAGGGAUGACGGCCUUCGGGUUGUAAACCUCUUUCAGCACAGACGAAGCGCAAGUGACGGUAUGUGCAGAAGAAGGACCGGCCAACUACGUGCCAGCCGCCGCCGUAA
rnacentral:rRNA from 1 species